rnacentral:rRNA from 1 species
CAGCCGCCGCGGGAAUACGAAGGGGGCUAGCGUUGCUCGGAAUUACUGGGCGUAAAGGGCGCGUAGGCGGACAGUUCAGUCGGGGGUGAAAGCCCGGGGCUCAACCUCGGAAUUGCCUUCGAUACUGGCUGUCUUGAGUAUGAGAGAGGUGUGUGGAACUCCGAGUGUAGAGGUGAAAUUCGUAGAUAUUCGGAAGAACACCAGUGGCGAAGGCGACACACUGGCUCAUUACUGACGCUGAGGCGCGAAAGCGUGGGGAGCAAACAGGAUUAGAUACCCGAGUAGUCCCUGUCUCUUAUAC